GUCGAGCGGCGGACGGGUGAGUAAUGCCUAGGAAAUUGCCCUGAUGUGGGGGAUAACCAUUGGAAACGAUGGCUAAUACCGCAUAAUGCCUACGGGCCAAAGAGGGGGACCUUCGGGCCUCUCGCGUCAGGAUAUGCCUAGGUGGGAUUAGCUAGUUGGUGAGGUAAGGGCUCACCAAGGCGACGAUCCCUAGCUGGUCUGAGAGGAUGAUCAGCCACACUGGAACUGAGACACGGUCCAGACUCCUACGGGAGGCAGCAGUGGGGAAUAUUGCACAAUGGGCGCAAGCCUGAUGCAGCCAUGCCGCGUGUGUGAAGAAGGCCUUCGGGUUGUAAAGCACUUUCAGUCGUGAGGAAGGUAGUGUAGUUAAUAGCUGCAUUAUUUGACGUUAGCGACAGAAGAAGCACCGGCUAACUCCGUGCCAGCAGCCGCGGUAAUACGGAGGGUGCGAGCGUUAAUCGGAAUUACUGGGCGUAAAGCGCAUGCAGGUGGUUUGUUAAGUCAGAUGUGAAAGCCCGGGGCUCAACCUCGGAAUUGCAUUUGAAACUGGCAGACUAGAGUACUGUAGAGGGGGGUAGAAUUUCAGGUGUAGCGGUGAAAUGCGUAGAGAUCUGAAGGAAUACCGGUGGCGAAGGCGGCCCCCUGGACAGAUACUGACACUCAGAUGCGAAAGCGUGGGGAGCAAACAGGAUUAGAUACCCUGGUAGUCCACGCCGUAAACGAUGUCUACUUGGAGGUUGUGGCCUUGAGCCGUGGCUUUCGGAGCUAACGCGUUAAGUAGACCGCCUGGGGAGUACGGUCGCAAGAUUAAAACUCAAAUGAAUUGACGGGGGCCCGCACAAGCGGUGGAGCAUGUGGUUUAAUUCGAUGCAACGCGAAGAACCUUACCUACUCUUGACAUCCAGAGAACUUUCCAGAGAUGGAUUGGUGCCUUCGGGAACUCUGAGACAG
rnacentral:rRNA from 1 species